rnacentral:rRNA from 1 species
UACAGAGGUCCCGAGCGUUGUUCGGAUUCACUGGGCGUAAAGGGUGCGUAGGUGGCCUGGUAAGUUUGAUGUGAAAGCUCAGGGCUCAACCCUGAAAUGGCAUUGAAUACUACUGUGCUGGAGGUUUGGAGGGGGGACUGGAAUUCUUGGUGUAGCAGUGAAAUGCGUAGAUAUCAAGAGGAACACCAGUUGCGAAGGCGGCUGACUGGACACAUAUUGACGCUGAGGCUCGAAAGCAUGGGGAGCAAACAGG